rnacentral:lncRNA from 1 species
CUAAUGGUCCCGACACAUGUCGUCGUCAAUGGUAGAGACCAACUAAUUGUCGGACCCACCAUCAAGACAACUUUAACCUACUUUGUUUAUGAUAUACUUUGUAAAAAUUUUGGCAAAGUUCUCUAUGAAAUAUGAACUAGUCACUUUAUCUAGCUGUCUGUAAUCAAUACACAAUCUCAUUGUGUCAUCUUUCUUCUUCAUAAAUAAGAUCGGUGCUCUCCAUGGAGACACACUGGGUCUAAUGAAACCCUUGUCAACUAAAUCUUUCAAUUCUUUGAGCUCUACUGCAGCCAUUCUGUAAGGUGGUUGUGAAAUUAGGGUAGUUCUUAGAAUCAAAUCAAUUAUAAACUCAAUUUCUCUACCUAGAGGUAACCCUGGAAGAUCUUCAGGAAAAACAUCAGGGAAAUCUCUUACCAACGAUAUAUCAUCAAGUAUUUGCUUAAUGAUUAGAGUAUCAAUCACAUGAGCUAAAUAUGCAUGGCAACAUUUCCUAAGCAAUCUCCCAGCAUCAAGUGCGGAUAUGAUACAUGAAUGUAAUAUUCUUCAUUCACCAUUAAAAACAAUUUCAAGCUCUUUUGGUCUUUUAACACUAUCUCUUUGUGAAAACAGUCAACUAAGGCAUGAUUUGCAGCUAGGAAAUCCAUGCCCAAUAUCACAUCAAAAUCAUAAAUAUCAAGUGGAAUCAAAUUAGCUUUCAACUCCCGAUAAUUCACUCUAAUCACACAAUCCUUGUACACACAGUUAGCUAAGAAUGAAUCUCCUACUGGAGUAGCUACCAUUAAAUCACUGUCUAACAGUUCUGACACAUGUCCGCAUAAUUAGCAAAUGCAUAAGAUAUAAAUGAAUGUGUAGCACCAGAAUCAAUUAAAGAACGAGUUUUUUUUUUACCAAACAUAAAUAACGUAUCCUUGACCACGUCUGGUGACUCAUUGGCUUCAUGCUGAGUUAUAGCAAAAACUCUCCCUGAGCCCUGGCAUGUCCAGCCUGGCCUUUCUAUCUACUACCACUGCUGCCAGCAACAUUGGACUGAAUAGCACUAGUAGCACCUGUUCUACCUGCCAAUGUAUUCUUGUUCUUAUUUUGUCUAGAGAUACCACCUGGCUAUAAAGAUGCUCUUUGUGAGGUACCACCUACUGAAGGCGAACUGGAAACUUUCUCCUCAUAUGUCUAGUUAGACCACAUUGAUAACAAACUCCAAUGACCUUAAAGCACUCUCCAAAGUGAAACUUUCCACGCAACUGACACUGUGGAAAUUUGACAACACUAUAGCUAUCAAUUUGUCCUGAAGUAAAUGAUCUCUGAACAAACCCUGAGUAUGAGUACUACUACUCCCUGGCUGCUGUACUAAUCUAUGGCUCGAUUUCGAGCCCUGACUUCUGUGGGAUCUGGAUUUGAAGCUACUAGAAGUGGAAACACCUAAUCCACCUCCUAUGUGAUCCCUCCUUGGUGGUCUAAACAUAGAGGCUCCUACUUAUGUCUGCUUACCACCACUAACACUAGGCCUCAUUAGUUGCUGACUGCUUUGUCGUUCUGAAAUACUUUUUUCAAAUUUUUGAACUACUUCUAGAAGUUUAUCAACAUUUUCAUACCCUGAUGCUAUAUCCACUAAUUUGAUCUCUUCCUUCAAGCCAUAUUCAGACCUCUACAUUUAUCAAUU